UACGGAGGGUGCGAGCGUUGUCCGGAAUCAUUGGGCGUAAAGGGCGCGUAGGUGGCGGGACAAGCGUGCGGUGAAAGCUCGGGGCUCAACCCCGCGUCGGCCGUGCGAACUGUUUUGCUUGAGCACUGUAGAGGCAGGCGGAAUUCCGGGUGUAGCGGCGGAAUGCGUAGAGAUCCGGAAGAACACCGGUGGCGAAGGCGGCCUGCUGGGCAGUAGCUGACACUGAGGCGCGACAGCGUGGGGAGCAAACAGG
rnacentral:rRNA from 1 species